rnacentral:lncRNA from 10 species
ACCACGCCGGCUAUUUUUUUUUCUUCGUAUUUUUAGUAGGGAUGGGAUUUCACUGUGUUAGCCAGGAUGGUCUCGAUCUCCUGCCCUCGUGAUCCACCCGCCUCGGCCUCCCAAAGUGCUGGAAUUACAGGCGUGACCCACUGCACCUGGCUAAUUUUUGUAUUUUCUGUAGAGAUGGGGUUUUGCCUAGGCUGGUCUCGAACUCCUCAUCUCAAGUGAUCUGCUCGCUUUGGCUUCUCAAAGUGCUGGGAUUAUAGGUGUGAGCCACUGCUCCUGGCCCCAAACUUGCAUAUUGAUAUGAAAAUAUUCAUUUUCUUUUCUUUUCUUUUUUUUUUUUUGAGAUGGAGUUUCAUUCAUGUUGCCCAGGCUGGAGUCCAAUGGCGUGAUCUCAGCUCACUGCAACCUCCGCCUCCUAGGUUCAAGCGAAUCUCCUGCCUCAGCCUCCCGAGUAGCUGGGAUUACAGAUAUGAUGCCUGAAGGUGAACUCAUCUUGUGGCUAUGAGGCGACAAGCAUAAGGGAAGAGUUAAGAGAACUGCAGGUACCAGACCUGGUAUCAUGGAGCAACUGGACUGAUGCUGCUUACCUCCAACUUUGUUACUUGAGAAACAUAAAUCCUUAUUUGUUUAAGCUAUUGCAACUUGGUUUUUCUGUUAUUGAAGCCAAAUGUGUUCUUAAUAUUCAAGUGACUACAACAGAUUCAAUAUCAGAUAGUUCAGGUUACUGUAGGUCAGGCACCCAAUAUCGAGGUUUCUAUGACAGAUGUCAUAGAUGGCCUCAUUGUCUACCAUGAAGGUGCAAUCUGAGUGCUCCAGGGUGAUGUUUGUGGUGAGCAUAGAGUUGUAGGGCUCAACUACAGCUGUGGAUACCUGGGGGCCUUGGUAAAUGGAGAACUCCAGCUUGGACUUCUUGCCAUAAUCAAUCUGCUCUGUAGUAGAUUGAAAAAUAGAGCUACAAUAUUUUCCAGUUUCUCUCAUGGAGAAAUGGAGUCUAUUUCCCCAUGCCUUGAAUCUGGGAUGGCUUUGUGACUUGCUUAGGCUACUAAAAUGUGGCAGAACUUGUGUUGAAUGAGUUUCAAAGCCUAAGGCCUCAAGAGGCCAUGCACUGUCCUAACUUUGCCCUCUUGGAUGCUUCUGCCACCCAAGAAGAAGCUCGGGCUGCCCCAAUAAAUGAUGAGAGACAUGUGGAGAGACAGAGGCCUAGCCAAGAGCCAGCACCAAGGCUCCAGACGUGCGUGAGGUCAUUUUAGACCUUCCAUUCCCAGUGGAGCUUCCACUGACUAGCCACGAGAGUGAGUCCAGAGGAGGCAACAUAAGAACCAUGAAUUCAACCCACAGAAUCCUGAGAAAAAUAAUUUUGAUGUGGUUUGUUAUGCAACAAUAGGUAAUUGAUAAUCAGCAGGGAGGUAAACCCAUAACUGUGGAAAACAAAGAAGCCUUGAAUACCUGUGCGAUGGAGUCCAUUAGAAAGGACAUGCCAUAUAAUUUGGGUGCAAACAGAGUAGAGACAUUUUUCACUUUUCCCAGAGAUACUUAAAACAGUUUUCUGGGAACAUCUUAUCUUUAUUUUGUCUCAGUUGUUUGAGACAUAGCAAUGUAUGAUGCUGUCCUAGAAAUGUUAUUUCAGGCCAGGCUUGGUGGCUCAUGUCUGUAAUCUCAGUGUUUUGGGAGGCUGAGGAGGGAUUGCUUGAGGCCAGGAGUUCAAGACUAGCCUGGGAGCGACCCCAUCUCUACAAAAAAAAAAAAAAAAAAAAUUAGCUGGGCAUGGCAGUGCAUGCCUGUAUAGUCUUAGGCUACUCAGGAGGCUGAGGCAAGAGGAUCACUUGAGCCCAGGAGUUAUGGGCCACAGUGAGCUAUGAUGGCACCACUGCACUCCAGCUUGGGUGGCGGAGUGGUACCCUGUCUCUAAAACACAAAAACAGGCUGGGAGCGGUGGCUCACAUCUGUAAACCCAGCACUUUGGGAGGCUGAGGUGGGUGGAUUGCUUGAGUCCAGGAGUUUGAG